rnacentral:rRNA from 1 species
GACGAACGCUGGCGGCGUGCCUAAUACAUGCAAGUCGAGCGAAGUUUUUCUGGUGCUUGCACUAGAAAAACUUAGCGGCGAACGGGUGAGUAACACGUAAAGAACCUGCCUCAUAGACUGGGACAACUAUUGGAAACGGUAGCUAAUACCGGAUAACAGUAUUUCUCGCAUGAGAGAUAUUUAAAAGUUGGUUAUGCUAACACUAUGAGAUGGCUUUGCGGUGCAUUAGCUAGUUGGUGGGGUAAAGGCCCACCAAGGCGACGAUGCAUAGCCGACCUGAGAGGGGGAUCGGCCCCACUGGGACUGAGACACGGCCCAGACUCCCACGGGAGGCAGCAGUAGGGAAUCUUCCGCAAUGGGCGAAAGCCUGACGGAGCAACGCCGCGUGGGUGAAGAAGGAUUUCGGUUCGUAAAGCUCUUUUGUUAGGGAAGAAUGGAUAUGUAGUAACUAUACAUGUAAGAGACGGUACCUAACCAGAAAGCCACGGCUAACUACGU